rnacentral:pre_miRNA from 1 species
UUGUUCGACCAUUGCAGUUGCUUUUAGACGCCAAUGCUUGGCAUGAAUGUCUUGAGUGUCUGGUAGCCUAAAACAGAGAGAUGAUGCAAUUGGUAUGUGGAUCUUCUCUGGUUUUAGAGGAAUCGUUCGCUGGCCUCCAGGUUCGAGACAAUCGUGCCAAGCUUUGUGCUUUCAAGAGCCUUAAUGGUUUUGGACGAUGGGUUCUACUGGAUCUCUAACAUC